rnacentral:lncRNA from 1 species
CUUCCCUUAGUUACUUUUUAUCAGCAUCUGGACAAGAUUCAGCAACUCCACUUGUCUUGAUAGAGUGGAGUACUUCCAAGGGACACCUCCUUUUUGAGGUAUCCGGAGAACUACGGUUGGUCUGAAUCGGAUCGUGUGCCACUCCCCAGACUAAUCACUGCAACCAUCAGGACGAGUUUCUAAGAUCGGCUGUGGGUAACAGAAUCCCGAGCCCUAUAGGUCAGAGCAAACCACAACUUUUCCAAGGAUUACAACUGCUUUCUGCAGAGUUCAUGGCUUUCAGCCCCAGAAAUUUGCAUGAUCUGGUUGAAAAACGGGGAAUA